rfam:Trichobilharzia regenti genome assembly, scaffold: TRE_scaffold0018910
AUCCAGCCGACGAGUCCUAAAUAGGACAAAAUGCGCAUCCUGACUGGAU